rnacentral:rRNA from 1 species
UGAGUACGAUGCUCUACGGAGCAGAAGUGUGUGACGUCAGGCUUCCUAGAAAAUCCCGGACCACGUUAAUCCACAUCACCCGUACCCGAAACCGACACAGGUAGGAUGGUUGAGAAUACUAAAGGGCGCGAGAUAACUCUCUCUAAGGAACUCGGCAAAAUGGCCCCGUAACUUCGGGAGAAGGGGUGCCCACGCAAGUGGUUGCAAUAACAAGAUCCAAGCAACUGUUUACCAAAAACACAGGUCUCCGCUAAGUCGUAAGACGAUGUAUGGGGGCUGACGCCUGCCCAGUGCCAGAAGGUUAAAGAAGUUGGUUAGCUUCGGCGAAGCUGAUGACUGAAGCCCUGGUGAACGGCGGCCGUAACAAUAACGGUCCUAAGGUAGCGAAAUUCCUUGUCGGGUAAGUUCCGACCCGCACGAAAGGCGUAAUGAUUUGGAUACUGUCUCGGAGAGGGGCUCGGUGAAAUAGACUUGUCUGUGAAGAUGCGGACUACCUGCACCUGGACAGAAAGACCCUAUGAAGCUUUACUGUAACUUGAGAUUGAAAUUGGACUUUAUUUGCGCAGUAUAGGUGGGAGACGUUGAGAAUGUUCUUGCGGGAAUAUUGGAGUCAUCAGUGAGAUACCACUCUUGUAAUGUUAGAUUUCUAACUUUGUAUCAUUAUCUGGUCAAAGGACAGUUUCAGGCGGGCAGUUUGACUGGGGCGGUCGCCUCCCAAAGGGUAACGGAGGCGCACAAAGGUUUCCUCUGAACGUGUAGAAAUCGUAUCUAGAGUGUAAAGGCAUAAGGAAGCUUGACUGUGAGACCUACAAGUCGAGCAGGGACGAAAGUCGGUCUUAGUGAUCUGACGGUGCUGAGUGGAAAGGCCGUCACUCAACGGAUAAAAGUUACUCUAAGGAUAACAGGCUGAUCUCCCCCAAGAGUUCACAUCGACGGGGAGGUUUGGCACCUCGAUGUCGGCUCAUCGCAUCCUGGGGCGGUAGUACGUCCCAAGGGUUGGGCUGUUCGCCCAUGAAAGCGGUACGCGAGCUGGGUUCAGAACGUCGUGAGACAGUUCGGUCCAUAUCCGGUGUAGGCGUUAGAAUAUUGAGAGGAGCCUUCUUUAGUACGAGAGGACCGAGAAGGACAUACCUCUGGUGUACCAGUUAUCGUGCCAACGGUAAACGCUGGGUAGCUAUGUAUGGAGUGGAUAACCGCUGAAAGCAUCUAAGUGGGAAGCCCACCUCAAGAUAAG